AAAAAUGAUUAUGUUAUUACUUACAAUAAUAAAUACCAAUAUGGCAUUUUUA
rnacentral:tRNA from 1 species